UGUAGGAGGUAUCGACCCCUUCUGUGCCGUCGUUAACACAAUAAGUACCCCGCCUGGGGAGUACGGUCGCAAGACUAAAACUCAAAGGAAUUGACGGGGGCCCGCACAAGCAGCGGAGCAUGUGGUUUAAUUCGAAGCAACGCGAAGAACCUUACCUAGACUUGACAUCUCCUGAAUUACCCUUAACCGGGGAAGCCCUUCGGGGCAGGAAGACAGGUGGUGCAUGGUUGUCGUCAGCUCGUGUCGUGAGAUGUUGGGUUAAGUCCCGCAACGAGCGCAACCCUUAUUUUUAGUUGCUACCAUUUGGUUGAGCACUCUAAAGAGACUGCCCGGGUUAACCGGGAGGAAGGUGGGGAUGACGUCAAAUCAUCAUGCCCCUUAUGUCUAGGGCUACACACGUGCUACAAUGGUGAGAACAAAGAGACGCAAGACCGCGAGGUGGAGCAAAUCUCACAAAACUCAUCCCAGUUCGGAUUGCAGGCUGAAACUCGCCUGCAUGAAGCCGGAGUUGCUAGUAAUCGUGAAUCAGCAUGUCGCGGUGAAUACGUUCCCGGGCCUUGUACACUCCGC
rnacentral:rRNA from 1 species